rnacentral:rRNA from 1 species
UACGAAGGGGGCUAGCGUUGUUCGGAAUUACUGGGCGUAAAGCGCACGUAGGCGGAUAUUUAAGUCAGGGGUGAAAUCCCAGAGCUCAACUCUGGAACUGCCUUUGAUACUGGGUAUCUCGAGUAUGGAAGAGGUGAGUGGAAUUCCGAGUGUAGAGGUGAAAUUCGUAGAUAUUCGGAGGAACACCAGUGUCGAAGGCGGCUCACUGGUCCAUUACUGACGCUGAGGUGCGAAAGCGUGGGGAGCAAACAGG